GGCCUUGUAGUCAAGCGGCUAAGACGUCGCCCUCUCACGGCGAAGGCCCGGGUUCGAUUCCCGGCAAGGUCA
rnacentral:tRNA from 1 species